rnacentral:rRNA from 1 species
UACGGAGGGUGCAAGCGUUGUUCGGAAUUAUUGGGCGUAAAGCGCGCGCAGGCGGCCCUUUAAGUCUGAUGUGAAAACCCUCGGCUCAACCGAGGACGUGCAUUGGAUACUGGAAGGCUUGAGUCUCGGAGAGGGAAGCGGAAUUCCCAGUGUAGAGGUGAAAUUCGUAGAUAUUGGGAGGAACACCGGUGGCGAAGGCGGCUUCCUGGACGAUGACUGACGCUGAGGCGCGAAAGCGUGGGUAGCAAACAGG